AACAUUUCUUAUCCUAUAGUCUAAAUUUAAAAUUAGUUUCUUCAAUUCUUCAAUUUUUUUAAAAGCACCAUCAACUUUUAAAAUAAAUUGCUCUUCAGUAAUAAUUUUAUUUCUACUAGAUUCCUCAAUAGUGUUUUCAAUUCGCUCAAUAUUUACGCUACUAUCAGCUCUGACUGAUGUUUGUUCUGUGUGAAUAUAAUUAACAUGUACAUGUUCAUUCAUCUUCCGUAAAAGUAAGUAACUGAGAAUAUUUCAAAGCUUAUUAUUCUUUUAUAAUACCAGCCUCUUUUAACUCUUCUACUAUGGAUAGAAUUUCAUUGUCAUGAUUUGUAUGACCAGCAUGUUUUGAAGAAAUCAGGAGUUUCAAUCUUUCAAUUAAUUCAUUAGGGUCAUCCCAAUAAACAUAAUCUGUAUUGCUUUUAUAUUUUUUUAAGGUUGGUAAGUUGCCACCACUUUUUGGUUGCAUUACCUGCUCUUCUACUUGAACAUCAUUUUGUUGUGAAAAUAAAGGUUUGAUAAUUUGACGAUAUUUCAAACUUUUGUCUCCUUUUAUUUGACCAUUUGAGUGAAAGUCUCGUUUGUGUGCAUGUGUAUUAUGAAGCAUAUCUUUGUAGACAAUUUUAUCUACUUCAGUUACCAAACUUAGGUUGGGUUUAUUGCGUAGCAAAAGUUCUUUUAAACCUGGUGUUAAUUCAUAAUGCUUAUUGUUUAUAGUGACUAUAUUUGUUUUUUGUGAAUCAUUGACGUUAUUUGAAAGAGAAAGUGUUACCUUAGAAUUUCCCAUCAUAAGAUUUUUGUUUUCACUACGUAUCCCAAAUGGUACAUUUAUGUUAUUCUCAUAAAUUUCCAUCAUAUCUUCUUUGUUCAGUGAAAUUAGUGAAUCGGUGGACUUUUUUACAUGAUUUCUUGAUAGAGUGUCUUUAUAUUCAGAAUGUGCACUAUGGUCUGUUUUUAUAAAUUCUUUAAAACUUUCAUAAUCUAGAGAUGAGCUGAGUUUUCCAAAUGUAUUGUUUUCAUCUUUAGAAAUGUCAAAUAUCUUUAUAUCUUUAUCAUUCACUUUAACUAAAGUUUCCAAGGGAUCGGUUAUUGGUUUAAACGCCUUUUUAAAUUUUAAAUUAGCGUUAUCUUCUUCAUCUUGUAAUAUUUUUAUUUUAUUUUUUAUAGUAUCUGCUGAUUUUAUUAAUUGUUCCUUAAUAUUAAUAUCCAUCGUUUGAUUUUCAAUCAUACGCAACUGUUAUUUACAGCUAUUGGAAGUCGAUUGAUAUGUUUUCCAUUGCGCGGGUAUAUAUGCAUAUUCUAAAGGCAUAUAAAUGUAUCGAAGCCUUGUCUGUAUCUUCCUUUAUUAAGAGCGCAAUCUUUAUUUAUUAAUAAAAAAUCAAACCGAUCCUGCCAUAUCAUAGAGCAAAGUUUUUUAAAUUUUAACCACUCCAUAUCCGUAUUUACAUGCUCAUUGUAAAUAUGUUUUAAAUUUUCUCGUCCUGUCUGAAGAUAAUUAUAAGAUUAACGUUGUCUCGUAUUAGUUGUUUAGGUAUUUUGGAAUAGGUUUGUGAUAAAUAAAAACAAUCUAUGUGUUUAUGCCUUCCCAUUGCAAAAUAAUUACGAAUGUUAACUUGUUUUUCACAUGCAACGUCAUCAAAAAUCAUUAAUGAGUUAGCUAAAGCAUUAUUGGGAUGUAUUAUUUCUUUAUUAUCAUUGAAGACCGAGAAUUUAGCACUAGGAACAUUCUUCAUAACUUGUUUUAGAAAACAAUACUUUGGCUGGAAAGCUGUCUUAGAGUAUAAAUAUAUAUGCUUGAAUUUCAAACCGUUUUCAUGCAAUAUUAAAUUGAGCAUUACAUUCGUUUUCCCGCAGUUAGAUGGACCACAUAUUAUACAUCUGAUUGUAUUAGGCAAAAGUGCACUGUGUUUUAUUUUGUGUGAUUGAUUUUCUAACUUUAUAUUACUAAUUUCUAAAGUCUGGGGUUGCUUGAUGAACUUCAUUGUGAAAAGUGAGGCAAAAUAACGUUACUAGUCUAUUUAUAUGUUUACAGGUUAUCAACAAAUAAAAAUCAACAAAGAAACUCCAGUGAUAUUUUCAUCAAUGAUUCAUCAUGCUCCCAAAUACCGGCAGCGCAACAACUACGUCAAAAUGUUUUGAACUACCUAGAGAGGGAAAGACCGUUCCGGUAUGAUGAAAUAAGAUCGAGUCCAUCGUACUCUCCGAUUCCAGCAGCAUCAAGAGAAAGACCCUUUCAAUUCGAAGAAAGACCGAGCAGCAGCGGCCCUGAAAGAGUUCCUAAUAGUAAAAAACGAGGGACCAAAACUUUGUAUUCGUACAUUAAAAAGCCUGCAAAGGGUUUACAAUCGAAAGUAAUACGGAUCCAAAUCUAUGAUGCAGAAGAUUUAAAAAGUUCUAAAUUAUGUGAGUGUAGGGCUAAUGUAUGCGCUCAGCAUAUUGUUGAAAAUGUGUUUAACGAUGAUAUAUACAAGUGCGCAAAAGAUAUGAUAAGUAAAAUUCAAAAGAAACUGUAAAUAAUUCAUAAAUAAACAAUAUUACUGA